GCAUCCGUGGAGUAGUAGUUAACUUAUUCCUCCCCCACUCCGCCUCGGUGGUCAAGUGGUAAAGGAAAGACCCGGGUGCAAAUCCCGGCGGAUGCA